CAGGGGCAGCUGAGAGUCCUGGGGGCCCCUGAAUGCCCCUGAACUCCCUGCAGGAUUGGCAGGAGGAGCUGCAGCUGAAAUGUCCUUGCACCACAGCUCCUGUCCCUCCUAAGACUUGGAAGUAUCCCGAACUUUGAAGUUUUCAUGGAGCUGAGUCAGAGAAAUGAAUCAUUUGACUUCAAGCACCUGUGCUGACCUCCAGGAGUCCCCUGAGGCUGCAUUCUGCUUGUAUCUCAGCAGCUGAGACAGUUUUGCUGGGAAAUCCUGGAGGAUUCCUGCCCUGGGUGAUGGCAGCCUCUGCCACGCUGCUGGAAAUCAGGAGCUGCACUGGGCUCUGAACAUCUGAGACCCACAGGGACAGGGAAAUAUCCCAGCUGCUUCUCCUUGGGCACAGGGAUUUGCCUGGGUUUGUUACAGAUACUGGAAGGAUGAGCGUGGACCAGGAGCUUUGGAUGUUUUGGGAAGAGGAAAAAUGAACAAUGAGAAUAUUUUUGAUGGAAAUUUGCCCAACAGGUCCCUGUCAAGGCUUCAGUCACCCCCAAAUCCACAGGAUCUCCCCUCACUCCCGGUGUUCUCCCACUCCCGGCUGCCGUUCUGGGAUCCCUCUGUAGGUGGAAGUGUUGCCGAGCCCAGCGAGGCUCCGGCUCUGCCGGGGCUGCACACACCGAGGGCCACCGAGGUGAGCAGGGGACAAAUGUCCUGCCCUGUCCCCGGGGCUGGACAGCCCCAUUCCAGCUGCUGGGAGCCGGGGAUGGAUCAAAGCCUCCACUGGCCGCCAGCGGUGGGAGAUUCCCCGGAGUGAGCAGGGACGGGGACAGCUCCGGGACAGCCCUGAGUGACCCAGAGGGGAGGGAAUGGGGUCCCUCACCAUGGCCCCGGCUCCUCCAGCUGUGCCAGAGGAGCUGUGGCAGGACAUUCCCCAUCCCUGGAAUGUUCCAGGCCAGGGUGAUCCUCUGAGGCCCGGCAGGCCCAGGGCUGUGCUCAGGAGCCCAGGGGGAAAUCCACAGCAAAAUGACCUUAAACCAAGAGAAUCUCCUGAAAGGCCCUCACAGAUUUAAUUACCCCUGCUCGGGGAUUGCUGCGCUUCCCAAAGUUCCAUGUGACUUGGGAGCCCAGGUUUGUAUGGAGCAAUCGGGAGCUGAGACUCAAAUGCCUGAGGCCCCGUUCUAAAGUGAUUUAGAGGGUGAGAAGCUGAGGUUUUAUUCAAAGCCUGAAGGUUUUUCUAUGCCUCAAUACCUGUUUAAAGGGUGAGAAGCUGAGGUUUUGUUCAAAGCCUGAAGGCUUUUCUAUGCCUCAAUACCUCUAAAAAAGGAAACACUUCCAGCAUCUUUCUGCCAGGUGGAGAUGGUUCAAAGUUUGCCCUCCAUGCUGAGGAGACAGCUGGCCUGAGGACACCGCGGGGUGACAGCGACUGAGACGGGACAGAGUGCAGGGGAGAGGCUGGAGCUGUCACCUGUCCCUUCCAAGGGAAUCAAACACCUCCUCCGAGGGCACGGAGCACCCUCCUUCCUGCCCCUCAGCAUCUCCCGGCAGGCUGGGAGCCUGGGCCAGCCCAGCCCCAAACCAGCCUCCCGAAUUCCGUGUUUUUCUCCACCAGGAUGCUCAGAACGCCGCGGCCAGGCAGGGUGAGAGCACGGUAGUGCUUUGCCGUCGAGGAAACCGCAAGAACCAGCGGAGAUGUUAUCUCUGACAUCUGGCUCCCAUCAGGGAGCUCUGGCUGCCGACAGGAAUGGACGGGAUGGCCCCGGGGCUGCUUGUUGUUCCAGGGCUCCUCGUGGCUCCCCCGGCAACAGCGAAGCCGACGCGGGGAUGCCAGAGCUGGGGACACAAAGGCAGCAGGGCCACCCUUCCCCUGCCCUCUGCAGAGCCAGCGGCGACGUGUCCUCAGCCACCUUUAACCCCAGGUGAGACUGGCUCAGCCAGCCCCACCCUGCCACGGCAGGGGCACCUCCCACUGCCCCAGGUGCUCCCAGCCCUGUCCAGCCCAGCUUGGGCACUGCCAGGGACACGGGGGCAGCCACAGCUCUGUGGGCACCCCGGGCACUGCGUGUCCUGCUCUCAGGGUUGUGGGGACCGUGAGAUUUAAGGUCCCAGAAUAAUUUUCCCUGGGUCAGGCUAAGAGGAGACUUUUGCCUUCUGGGAUCUGUGCAUCUCCUGCACACAUCCUGCUCUGUGCCAGGAGCCUGCCCAAGCUGUUUUGCUCUCCUUUUAUUUCAGGCACUGGCUUUGGAUUAAAUGCUGGUGAUCUGAAGCCUGAGUUGUGCUGUGAUCCAGGGGACGGGAUGUCCCACAGAUCCAGGGAGAUAAUGUUCCAGAGAUCCAGGAGAGGGGGCGUUCCACAGAUCCAGGGAGGGGAUGUCCCACAGAUCCAGGAGAGGGGAUGUCCCACAGAUCCAGGAGAGGGGAUCUGAGCCCUGGUUGCAGCGCCCUCCUGCGCGGCCCUGCCCAGCCAUGGCUCCCCCAGGUCUCUGUUGCUCCAGAGUCAGGCACACACAGAUCCUCUCCUGAUGGGAGUCCUGUGAACAAGGGACUGUUUCCCUGUCAGAUGGAUCUUCAGCAGGUUUGGAACAUCCUCACCCAGAGCCAGCCAGAGGAAAGGAUUUCUGUGGAUUUCUAUGAAUACAGAAAAUCCUGGAAAAUCCAUAGGAAAUCCUGGUGUCCAGAACCAACCUUUCACCCAGAGAUCAGAAACCCAAGUUCUCCCUGUGCCCAGCUUGAGCAGAACUUCGUGGUGAUUCAAAUGACCGCUCAGUCCCGGAAAGUUCAAACGAGCCCUGCAGCCAGCACAGUGCACAGGAAACAGCUGCGGAGAGGAUGCUGGAGCGGAUUUCCAUAAAAGCCGAUGAUUCAUGGAAACGUUCAGUGAGAGGGGCCAGCCUCGGGCUCCUGAGGAGCUUCUCCUCCUGACAGACACGAUUCCCGAAUUCCCAGUGCCCGCCCCAGCACCGGCCGUGGGGCGGAGCAGAGGGAACUCCCGACAUCCAGCCUGGGGGAUCUGGGGGAUGCUACAUCCCCAAUUCCUGCUGCCAGUGAAACGCUGCUCAGCUGCCCUGGACUGGGGAAAGGGAUGUCAGGAGAGGGCAGUGCCUGUGUUACAGGGGCUGGAGGGACAGGACACAGGGAAUGGCUCCCGCUGCCAGAGGGCAGGGAUGGAUGGGAGAUUGGGAACUGGGAAUUGUUCCCUGGGAGAGUGGGCAGGCCCUGGCACAGGGUGCCCAGAGCAGCUGGGGCUGCCCCUGGAUCCCUGGCAGUGCCCAAGGCCAGGCUGGACACUGGGGCUGGAGCACCUGGGAUGUGGGAGGUGUCCCUGCCAUGGCAGGGGUGGCACUGGAUGGGCUUUAAGGUCCUUCCAACUCAACGCAGUCUGUGACGAUGGUGAUGGUGAAGGACAUCUGGGCAGGACAGAAGAACCUGCUGCAUUCCGUGGCUCUCCAGGCUCCUUUCCUCUGUGCCCACCAGAUUUCUUCCAGGACUCUUUCCCCGGAGCUCCAAGCAGGUACUGGCAGCUGGGCAUUGCCCCCUGGAGUGGUGCCAGGCCAAACCAAACCACUUUCCACAUCCCAUAAAUCAGGAGAUGGAAAAUCCCCUUUGGGGCACUGGGUUCAGCUGCUCCUGCAGCGCAGGGCUGCUCCUGCCAGGACAUUUUCCAUGGAUAUUUCCCACCCACUUGGAAUGACUCAAGCACAGGGGCUCCAGCACUGCAGAGAUCCUCUCUGGCUGCACAGCUCCAGGGGAGGGCAUUUUCCUCUCCCUCACACUGAGAUUUUCCUUUCCAGAUGUCAGCUCUUUCCUCCCAUCUGGACCCCCUGGGUUAUUCCCCCUUUCCCUGACGUUUCCCACCCUGUGUUCAUUCCGUGCCUGGCACCAGUGCCUGAGCCCUGCUGCUCUCAGCCACAUCCCACUGCAGGGAACAGAGGAAACGUGGCCUCAGGGACACCCUGGGCCAGCCCCCUCAGUGGAAGGGUCUCCAUGCCCCUGAGAGGUCUGGCGGCACCUGUGCCCCUGCCCUGGCACCGAGCCCUGUCCCCACCCUGGGAGGAGCAGGGUGGGAUCGCUCUGGGCACGGCUGAUCCCGAGCCUGGAGGGAGAACAAUCCGUGGGAGCUGGCCACGACCUGGGAGCAGCUCCCAGGGCAAGGCCAGAUGCUCCACACAAAUGACAUUCCUGGUGUGAAAAUCCCCCCACAUUAAUCUCAGGCAGUGCCCUUUUUAUCAUCCCACCCCAAUGAAUUGUGUGUGUGCUGUGAGGAUGAAACCCCUGGGUCAGUGUUUCACACCAUCACAGCUGUUUGGGGUUUGUUCUUCCUUCAGCAGGGCACUGUUAACCACCUGUAACCACCAAGGACAAAACCCAACAUGGAAUUUUCAUGAUGGAAAUAAGGGCGUGUUUUAAAUAACUAAAAAUGCAGCUGUGGGGGGUUGUCUGCAAAGGGAACUUUCCCCAGUUUCAUUAUCCUACUCUUAUUGGUAUUGAAAAUGCACAGUACAAAGAAAGACAGUCAUGCUU